GGGUGGGGUUGUGUUUUCUCACAAACUGGGUCGUCAAAUUUGAGUUUCCAAGGGGGCUCUCAGUUCCCCCAUGACUCUAGAGAAGGAAAAAUAGAAAGCAUUAUAGGUGUUCAGACUGGUCACAGAAGACAUCUUCGCAAGGCAGUUCCUAUCACAGCCAGCUGAUGUCACCAACGGGGCAUGGGGGAGAUGGAGGAAAGAAACAACAGAAGAGACGAAGAGGAAGGAGGGACGACGGAGCAAAAGUGAAGACAUGAUAUACGGCCGAGGACAUAGGUCCCCUACCAGCCCCUCACCCAACCCCUCCCUUUUCCCCUUUUGCAGGAGACAAAACCAGACUGACAAGCUGAAGACUCAAACAUUAAUCAAACUGCGCUCCGGAACAACCUUUCCCUCGCAUUAAUAAAUACAUUUGCGGCCCCUCA
rnacentral:lncRNA from 1 species